GACGAACGCUGGCGGCGUGCCUAAUACAUGCAAGUCGAACGCUUCUUUCCUCCCGAGUGCUUGCACGCAAUUGGAAAGAGGAGUGGCGGACGGGUGAGGAACACGUGGGUAACCUACCCAUCAGAGGGGGAUAACACUUGGAAACAGAUGCUAAUACCGCAUAACAGUUUAUGCCGCAUGGCAUAAGAGUGAAAGGCGCUUUCGGGUGUCGCUGAUGGAUGGACCCGCGGUGCAUUAGCUAGUUGGUGAGGUAACGGCUCACCAAGGCCACGAUGCAUAGCCGACCUGAGAGGGUGAUCGGCCACACUGGGACUGAGACACGGCCCAGACUCCUACGGGAGGCAGCAGUAGGGAAUCUUCGGCAAUGGACGAAAGUCUGACCGAGCAACGCCGCGUGAGUGAAGAAGGUUUUCGGAUCGUAAAACUCUGUUGUUAGGGAAGAACAAGGACGUUAGUAACUGAACGUCCCCUGACGGUAUCUAACCAGAAAGCCACGGCUAACUACGUG
rnacentral:rRNA from 1 species